UUGCUGCAGUUCACUCCCAACCCCUGUGACAUACCUUAAUGUUGCCUCGGCGGAUCAGCCCGCGCCCCGUAAAACGGGACGGCCCGCCAGAGGACCCAAACUCUAAUGUUUCUUAUUGUAACUUCUGAGUAAAACAAACAAAUAAAUCAAAACUUUCAACAACGGAUCUCUUGGUUCUGGCAUCGAUGAAGAACGCAGCAAAAUGCGAUAAGUAAUGUGAAUUGCAGAAUUCAGUGAAUCAUCGAAUCUUUGAACGCACAUUGCGCCCGCUGGUAUUCCGGCGGGCAUGCCUGUUCGAGCGUCAUUUCAACCCUCAAGCCCCCGGGUUUGGUGUUGGGGAUCGGCUCUGCCUCACGGCGGUGCCGCCCCCGAAAUACAUUGGCGGUCUCGCUGCAGCCUCCAUUGCGUAGUAGCUAACACCUCGCAACUGGAACGCGGCGCGGCCAUGCCGUAAAACCCCAACUUCUGAAUGUUGACCUCGGAUCAGGUAGGAAUACCCGCUGAACUUAAGCAUAUCAAUAAGCGGAAGAAUCUUUGUUACAC
rnacentral:rRNA from 1 species